GGGCGUUUAGCUCAGUUGGCUAGAGCAACUCGUUUACACCGAGUAGGUCGGGGGUUCGAGCCCCUCAACGCCCACCA
rnacentral:tRNA from 1 species